rnacentral:tRNA from 1 species
AGCAGCCGGGCGACGUCGUCGCCGAGGCGCUCGCCGAGCGCUACGACUGAAGGAAGCGGACGGCGGUCUCGGCGAUCGUUUCUCUGGCCUGCUCC